GACGAACGCUGGCGGCGUGCUUAACACAUGCAAGUCGAACGGAAAGGCCCUGCUUUUGUGGGGUGCUCGAGUGGCGAACGGGUGAGUAACACGUGAGUAACCUGCCCUUGACUUUGGGAUAACUUCAGGAAACUGGGGCUAAUACCGGAUAGGAGCUCCUGCUGCAUGGUGGGGGUUGGAAAGUUUCGGCGGUUGGGGAUGGACUCGCGGCUAAUCAGCUUGUUGGUGGGGUAGUGGCUUACCAAGGCUUUGACGGGUAGCCGGCCUGAGAGGGUGACCGGCCACAUUGGGACUGAGAUACGGCCCAGACUCCUACGGGAGGCAGAAGUGGCGAAUAUUGCACAAUGGGCGGAAGCCUGAUGCAGCAACGCCGCGUGUGGGAUGACGGCCUUCGGGUUGUAAACCGCUUUCGCCUGUUACGAAGCGUGAGUGACGGUAAUGGGUAAAGAAGCACCGGCUAACUACGUG
rnacentral:rRNA from 1 species